rnacentral:other from 1 species
CGACCCCUGCCGUGUUCGUGAUUGGAAGAUGUUCUUUGUCCCAACACAUAUGCACCGGGGGCUAUCGCUGGUUUCGGUGUGCAGAUUCCGGUGUCGCACCGGAAAAGCCUGAAGAAACCAAAUGGCGCCCACUUUGAACCAAUGGUUCAAAGACCUUACCAACACGGCACAGUGGCAGGGGUCCU